rnacentral:rRNA from 1 species
UACAGAGGCCUCGAGCGUUAGGCGGAAUCACUGGGCUUAAAGCGUGUGUAGGCGGAUUGGUAAGUACCUUGUGAAAUCCCACAGCUUAACUGUGGAACUGCUCGGUAUACUGCUGAUCUUGAGCCACUCAGGGCUACCGGAACAAAUGGUGGAGCGGUGAAAUGCGUAGAUAUCAUUUGGAACGCCAAUGGUGAAAACAGGUAGCUGGGGGUGUGCUGACGCUGGAGACACGAAAGCCAGGGGAGCAAACGGG